ensembl:lncRNA
AGCUUACUCCCGAGGAGCUGUGCAAAGACCAUCGUUAUGUUUGGAGGAAAAAGGGAGAGGCUUGCAAGCCGAAGAACACCAUCCCAAUCGUGAAGCAUGUUGUGGGGGUGCUUUGCUGCAGGAAGGACUGGUGCACUUCACAAAAUAGAUGGCAUCAUGAGGAAGGAAACUUGUGAAUAUAUUAUAGUAACAUCUCAAGACAUUAGUCAGGAAGUUAAAGCUUGUUUGCAAAUGGGUCUUCCAAAUGGACAAUGACCCCAAACAUUCUUCCAAAGUUGUGGCAAAAUGGCUUAAGGACAGCAAAGUCAAGGUAUUGGAGUGGCACAAACCCUAACAUCAAUCCUAUAGAACAUCUGUGGGCCAAACUGAAAAGUUGUGUGUGAACAAGGAGGCCAACAAAUCUGACUCAGUUAUACUAGUUCUGUCUGGAGGAAUGAGUCAAUAUUCACCCAACUCAUUGUGGGAAACUUGUGAAAGGCUACCUGAAAUAUUUUAACAAUUUAAAGCAAUGCUACAAAAUGCUAAUGAGUGUAUAUAAACUUCUGACACACUGGGAAUGUGAUAAAAGAAAUAAAAGCUGAAAUGAAUCAUUCUCUCUACUAUUAUUGUGACAUUUCAUAUUCUUUAAAUGAAGUAGUAAUCCUAACUGACCUAAAACAGGGAAUUUGUACGAGGUUUAAAUGUCAGGAAUUGUGAACAACUGAGUUAAAAUGUAUUCACCUAAGAUGUAUGUAAACUUCAGACUUCAGCUGUAUAUAUGGCUCUGUGUGUGUUUGUUUUAAGGACAAAAAUAUAUUCAUAUUUGCAAUUCCUCAACUCCUUGAAAUAGAAACUGUAUAUUCCAAAGUGCAGCUUCUAGGAAACACUAUCAUUACUUUCAAUGACAUGCAUUCAGGGUUACUGUUAUGGGUUGUCUUGUCAUAGUGACAGCUUACCCAUGGGGAUCUUAUUAAAUAUGGAAUACGACGACACUCACAGCUGUCGCAUUUAUAGCUUUUCUUGUUAUUUGGGAAAUUCUCUUAACAAGGUAUCAUCGAAAGCAAAGUUAAAUCAAUGUUAAAUAAAGUUACAUCAAAACUAAGAAACUAGUAUGUGAAUGUUUGUCUUUGUUGCUGUCCAAAAACAAGGACUCCAUUUUAUGUCUCCAGGACAAAAGGGAAUGUUUCUGAAGGUCACUGUUACACCUAAAUUGGACUAUUUGUCUCCCAUUUUCAUAUUUCACAUUUUAUUUCUUA